rnacentral:rRNA from 1 species
CCUACGGGGGGCAGCAGUAGGGAAUUUUCGUCAAUGGGCGCAAGCCUGAACGAGCAAUGCCGCGUGAACGAGGAAGGUCUUCGGAUCGUAAAGUUCUGUUGAAGGGGAAAAAGAGCGGAGAGAGGAAAUGGUCUCCGAUUGAUAUUACCCUUCGAGGAAGUCACGGCUAACUACGUGCCAGCAGCCGCGGUAAUACGUAGGUGGCAAGCGUUGUCCGGAUUUAUUGGGCGUAAAGCGAGUGCAGGCGGU